GACAGAGGGGGGCAAGCGUUGCUCGGAAUCACUGGGCGUAAAGGGCGCGUAGGCGGGAUGGCAAGUCAGUCGUGAAAUCUCUCGGCUCAACCGAGAAACGUCGGCUGAUACUGCCGUUCUUGAGGGAUGCAGAGGAGACUGGAAUUCCCGGUGUAGCGGUGAAAUGUGUAGAGAUCGGGAGGAACACCGGUGGCGAAGGCGGGUCUCUGGGCAUUUCCUGACGCUGAGGCGCGAAAGCGUGGGGAGCAAACGGG
rnacentral:rRNA from 1 species